rnacentral:rRNA from 1 species
UACAGAGGGUGCGAGCGUUAAUCGGAAUUACUGGGCGUAAAGCGUGCGUAGACGGUAGCGUAAGUCAGAUGUGAAAGCCCCGGGCUCAACCUGGGAACUGCAUUUGAGACUGCUCUGCUCGGGUGCGGAAGAGGGAAGCGGAAUUUCCGGUGUAGCGGUGAAAUGCGCAGAUAUCAGGAGGAACACCGGUGGCGAAGGCGGGUCUCUGGGUAGUAACUGACGCUGAGGAACGAAAGCGUGGGUAGCGAACAGG